rnacentral:lncRNA from 1 species
UCGUUCGUAUCUGCAGUUGUGGAUCCUGGGAGUCAAAGGCCUGGACUCGAGCAAGGAAAGAACAAUGUUCACAUGUUUGUGGGUCUUCAGGGCAGCGGCAAAACGCAAUACUUGCUCCAAGUUGGCCUAUUAUUACCAGAGGAAAGGCUGGAAGACCUGCCUGAUCUGUGCAGACACCUUCAGAGCUGGCGCCUUUCGACCAGCUCAAACAGAACGCCACUAAAGCCCGGAUCCCCUUCUACGGCAGUUACACAGAGAUGGACCCCGUGGUCAUCGCGGCCGAAGGCGUGGAGAAGUUUAAGUCUGAGAACUUUGAGAUCAUCAUCGUGGACACGAGCGGCCGACACAAACAGGAGGACUCUCUGUUCGAGGAGAUGCUGCAAGUUUCAACGCUGUGGUGAGUCCCAGGCCUCGCCCCCUCUUCGCCCGGGAACCGCCUCACUCACUGACUCCUCCCCUCUCUGUCUCCAUAGCAACCGGACAACAUCGUGUAUGUGA